AUAAAGUUCCUUUGGGUAAGAAGUAAUACUUGUCAUCAAAAUGGAUAAAAGGAGAUUUAUGUAGACAUAUUUUAGUUCUAGAUACGUCCCUUUUUAUCCAUUUUGAUGACAAGUAUUUUCGGACGGAGGGAGCUUAUA
rnacentral:pre_miRNA from 1 species